rnacentral:rRNA from 1 species
GGUGACCAAUGAAGUACUUCGGUAUGUAAAGUUCUUUUAUUGAAAAAGAAAAAAUAGUGGAAAAACUAUCUUGACAUUAUUCAAUGAAUAAGCCCCGGCUAAUUAUGUGCCAGCAGCCGCGGUAAUACAUAAGGGGCGAGCGUUAUCCGGAAUUAUUGGGCGUAAAGGGUGCGUAGGCGGUUUGAUAAGUCUAUAGUUUAAAUGCAGUGCUUAACGCUGUAGCGCUAUAGAAACUGUCUGACUAGAGUUAGAUAGAGGCAAGCGGAAUUCCAUGUGUAGCGGUAAAAUGCGUAAAUAUAUGGAGGAACACCAGAGGCGUAGGCGGCUUGCUGGGUCUUAACUGACGCUGAGGCACGAAAGCGUGGGGAGCAAACAGGAUUAGAUACCCUGGUAGUCCACGCCGUAAACGAUGAGUACUAAGUGUCGGGUUUCGGCUCGGUACUGAAGUUAACACAUUAAGUACUCCGCCUGAGUAGUACGUACGCAAGUAUGAAACUUAAAGGAAUUGACGGGACCCCGCACAAGCGGUGGAUCAUGUUGUUUAAUUCGAAGAUACACGAAAAACCUUACCAGGUCUUGACAUAAUUUUGCGACAUUAUAGAAAUAUAAUGAAGGUUAUCAGAAUUACAGGUGGUGCAUGGUUGUCGUCAGCUCGUGUCGUGAGAUGUUAGGUUAAGUCCUAAAACGAGCGCAACCCUUGUCGUUAGUUGCGACCACGUAAUGGUGAGCACUUUAGCGAGACUGCCAAUGAAAAAUUGGAGGAAGGUGAGGAUUACGUCAAAUCAUCAUGCCCCUUAUGAUCUGGGCUACAAACGUGAUACAAUGGCUGUAAAAA